GGGUGAGUGGCGAAAUGGUAAACGCACCAGAUUUAGGAUCUGGCGGGUCGAGAGGCCCUUGGAGGUUCGAGUCCUCUCUCGCCUA
rnacentral:tRNA from 1 species